rnacentral:rRNA from 1 species
GACGUAGGGCGCGAGCGUUGUCCGGAUUUAUUGGGCGUAAAGAGCGUGUAGGCGGCCAGGUAGGUCCGUUGUGAGAACUCGAGGCUCAACCUCGAGACGCCGAUGGAAACCAUCUGGCUAGAGUCCGGAAGAGGAGAGUGGAAUUCCUGGUGUAGCGGUGAAAUGCGCAGAUAUCAGGAAGAACACCCGUGGCUAAGGCGGCUCUCUAGUACGGUACUGACGCUGAGACGCGAAAGCGUGGGGAGCGAACAGG